UCCUCGUUAGUACAGUGGUGAGUAUCCCCGCCUGUCACGUGGGUGACUGGGGUUUGAUUCCCUGAAGGGAGA
rnacentral:tRNA from 1 species